rnacentral:tRNA from 1 species
AGGAAUAUAGCUCAGAUGGUAGAGCGACAGACUUUUAAUCUGCAUGCGUAGGUUCGAGUCCUACUUUUCCUA